rnacentral:rRNA from 1 species
GACGAACGCUGGCGGCGUGCUUAACACAUGCAAGUCGAGCGGUAAGGCCCUUUCGGGGGUACACGAGCGGCGAACGGGUGAGUAACACGUGGGUGACCUGCCCUCAGCUCUGGGAUAAGCCUGGGAAACCGGGUCUAGUACUGGAUAUGACUCCAUGACGCAUGUUGUGGGGUGGAAAGCCUUGUGCGGCUGAGGAUGGGCCCGCGGCCUAUCAGCUUGUUGGUGGGGUGANGGCCUACCAAGGCGACGACGGGUAGCCGGCCUGAGAGGGCGACCGGCCACACUGGGACUGAGACACGGCCCAGACUCCUACGGGAGGCAGCAGUGGGGAAUCUUGCGCAAUGGGCGAAAGCCUGACGCAGCGACGCCGCGUGAGGGAUGACGGCCU